rnacentral:rRNA from 1 species
ACGAACGCUGGCGGCAUGCCUAACAUAUGCAAGUCGAACGCGACCUUCGGGUCUAGUGGCGCACGGGUGCGUAACGCGUGGGAACCUGCCCUUAGGUUCGGAAUAACUCCCCGAAAGGGGUGCUAAUACCGGAUAAUGUCUUCGGACCAAAGAUUUAUCGCCUUUGGAUGGGCCCGCGUUGGAUUAGCUAGUUGGUAGGGUAAAAGCCUACCAAGGCGACGAUCCAUAGCUGGUCUGAGAGGAUGAUCAGCCACACUGGGACUGAGACACGGCCCAGACUCCUACGGGAGGCAGCAGUGGGGAAUAUUGGACAAUGGGCGAAAGCCUGAUCCAGCAAUGCCGCGUGAGUGAUGAAGGCCUUAGGGUUGUAAAGCUCUUUUACCCGGGAUGAUAAUGACAGUACCGGGAGAAUAAGCUCCGGCUAACUCCGUG